AGGUACAAAGUAAAAAAUUACAUUUAAUUUCGACUUAAAAAUUAAUCUUUGUUGAUUUGUACUUG
rnacentral:tRNA from 1 species